rnacentral:rRNA from 1 species
UACGGAGGGGACAAGCGUUAUUCGGAAUUAUUGGGCGUAAAGGGCGCGUAGGCGGCCAGAUAAGUGAGAAGUGAAAGCCCACGGCUCAACCGUGGAACGGCUUCUCAUACUGUCUGGCUAGAGUAUGGGAGAGGUAAGUGGAAUUUCCGGUGUAGCGGUGAAAUGCGUAGAGAUCGGAAGGAACACCAGUGGCGAAGGCGGCUUACUGGACCAUGACUGACGCUGAGGCGCGAAAGCGUGGGGAGCAAACAGG